GGGAAUUUGAUCAGUGCAUUUUGAUGCACAUUCUUCUAUAUUUAUACUUAUGCAUUUCCAUGUUUUAGUUUUGUUAUUUUUCCCUUUUAACGUGUUUUUAUAAUUUAUCUUAUUUUUACACUUAUUUGUUUUUCGCAGUUUAUUUUCAGCAUUAGCAGCUUUCGUGAGAAAAUUUAUAUCUUGAGCUAGGAGUAUCGGAUUGAGACGU
rnacentral:lncRNA from 1 species